ACGAGAGAUGCAAGCGUUAUCCGGAAUUAUUGGGCGUAAAGAGUUUGUAGGUGGUUAAAUGUGUUUAAUGUUAAAUAUUAGAGCUCAACUUUGAAAUGGCAUUAAAAACUAUUUGACUUGAGUAUGAUAGAAGUAAAGGGAAUUUCCAGUGUAGCGGUGAAAUGCGUAGAUAUUGGGAAGAACACCAAAGGCGAAAGCACUUUGCUAGGUUAAUACUGACACUGAGAAACGAAAGCUAAGGUAGCAAACAAGAUUAGAUACCUUGGUAGUCUUAGCUGUAAACAAUGGAUACUAAGUGGUGCUUUUUGUACUGCUGUAGUUAACACGUUAAGUAUCCCGCCUGGGGAGUACGCUUGCAAAAGUG
rnacentral:rRNA from 1 species